rnacentral:misc_RNA from 1 species
AGCGGCAAGAGCUCAAAUUUGAAAGCUGGCCCCUCCGGGGUCCGCGUUGUAAUUUGCAGAGGAUGCUUCGGGCUCAGCCCCCGUCUAAGUGCCCUGGAACGGGCCGUCGGAGAGGGUGAGAAUCCCGUCUGGGACGGGGUGCCUGGGUCCAUGUGAAGCUCCUUCGACGAGUCGAGUUGUUUGGGAAUGCAGCUCUAAAUGGGUGGUAAAUUUCAUCUAAAGCUAAAUACUGGCCGGAGACCGAUAGCGCACAAGUAGAGUGAUCGAAAGAUGAAAAGCACUUUGAAAAGAGAGUUAAACAGCACGUGAAAUUGUUGAAAGGGAAGCGCUUGCGAUCAGACUCGCCUGCGGGGUUCAGCCGGCAUUCGUGCCGGUGUACUUCCCCGUGGGCGGGCCAGCGUCGGUUCGGGUGGCCGGUCAAAGGCCCCGGGAAUGUGUCGCCCUCCGGGGCGUCUUAUAGCCCGGGGUGCCAUGCGGCCUACCUGGACCGAGGAAC